UACGUAGGGACCAAGCGUUGUUCGGAUUUACUGGGCGUAAAGGGCGCGUAGGCGGCAAUUCAAGUCAUCUGUGAAAUCUCCGGGCUUAACUCGGAACGGUCAGAUGAUACUGCUUUGCUAGAGUGCGGAAGGGGCAAUCGGAAUUCUUGGUGUAGCGGUGAAAUGCGUAGAUAUCAAGAGGAACACCUGAGGUGAAGACGGGUUGCUGGGCCGACACUGACGCUGAUGCGCGAAAGCCGGGGGAGCAAACGGG
rnacentral:rRNA from 1 species